rnacentral:rRNA from 1 species
GCCAGCAGCCACAUCAACCUGCAGCUCUCAACUGGCUACCCACUGGAGCUAAGCAGGGUUGAGCCUAGUCAGUACCUAAAUCGGUGACCUCCUGUGAAGCUAUGGUUGCUGCUGGUG